CCUACGGGUGGCAGCAGUGAGGAAUAUUGGUCAAUGGCCGGAAGGCUGAACCAGCCAUGCCGCGUGAAGGUCAGUGCCCUAUGGGCGUUAAACUUCUUUUGUGCGGGAGCAAUAAUGGUCACGUGUGGCCAGACGAGAGUACCGUACGAAUAAGCAUCCGCUAACCUCGUGCCCGCAGCCGCGGUAAUACGGGGGAUGCAAGCGUUAUCCGGAUUUUUUGGGUUUAAAGGGUGCGUAGGCUGUGAGGUAAGUCAGCGGUGAAAUGCCCCCGGUCAACGGGGUGAAGUGCCAUUGAUACUGGCUUGCAUGAAUGCGGAUGCCGUAGGAGGAAUGUGUGGUGUAGCGGUGAAAUGCAUAGAUAUCACGCAGAACACCGAUUGCGAAGGCAUCUCACGAAUCCGCGAUUGACGCUGAUGCACGAAAGCGUGGGUAUCAAACAGGAUUAGAUACCCCUGUAGUC
rnacentral:rRNA from 1 species